rnacentral:rRNA from 1 species
UUAAGUCUAACCUGCUCAAUGAUUAUUUUUAAAUAGCUGCGGUAUUUUGACCGUACAAAGGUAGCAUAAUCAUUAGUUUUUUAAUUGAAAGCUAGAAUGAAGGGUUGAAUGAAAAAAUUUCUGUCUCUAUAAAAAUUUAGAAGAAAUUUAUUUUUAAGUAAAAAAGCUUAAAUAAUUUUUGAAGACGAGAAGACCCUAUAGAGUUUAAUAUUUAAAAGUAAAAAAUUUAUUUUAGCAUCAUUAAUUUUUAUUGUAAAAUUAUUUUAUUGGGGUGAUUUAAAAAUUUAUAAAACUUUUUUUUUAUAAAAUCAUUGAUUUAUGAAAAAUUGAUCCUUAAAUUAAGAUUAAAAGAUAAAAUUACCUUAGGGAUAACAGCGUAAUUUUUUAAAAAGUUCUUAUUGAAAAAGAAGAUUGCGACCUCGAUGUUGGAUUAAAAUAAAUUAUUGGUGGAGAAGCUGAAUAAUUAGGUCUGUUCGACCUGUUGAUUUUACAUGAUCUGAGUUUAAACCGGUGUGAGCCAGGUC